rnacentral:rRNA from 1 species
GCGCGAAAACUUUACAAUGCUGGCAACAGCGAUAAGGGAACCUCGAGUGCCAGGUUACAAAUCUGGCUGUCGAGAUGCCUAAAAAGCAUUUCAUAGCAAGGGCCGGGCAAGACCGGUGCCAGCCGCCGCGGUAACACCGGCGGCUCGAGUGGUAACCGUUAUUAUUGGGUCUAAAGGGUCUGUAGCCGGCCGGAUAAGUCUCUUGAGAAAUCUGGCAGCUUAACUGUCAGGCUUUCAGGAGAUACUGUCUGGCUCGAGGCCGGGAGAGGUGAGAGGUACUUCAGGGGUAGGGGUGAAAUCUUGUAAUCCUUGAAGGACCACCAGUUGCGAAGGCGUCUCGCCAGAACGGAGCUGGCGGCAAGGGACGAAAGCUAGGGGCACGAACC